CCUACGGGGGGCAGCAGUAGGGAAUUUUCGUCAAUGGGCGGAAGCCUGAACGAGCAAUGCCGCGUGAGUGAUGAAGGUCUUCGGGUCGUAAAGUUCUGUUGUAGGGGAAACAGGGCAGUGAUAGGGAAUGCUGAUUAAGUGAUGUUACCCUACGAGGAAGUCACGGCUAACUACGUGCCAGCAGCCGCGGUAAUACGUAGGUGGCAAGCGUUAUCCGGAAUGAUUGGGCGUAAGGGGUGCGCAGGCGGCCGGCUAAGUCUGAAGUAAAAGCCAUCGGCUCAACCGGUGUAAGCUCUGGAAACUGGAGGUCGAGAGUGCAGGAGAGGACAGUGGAAUGCCAGGUGUAGCGGUAAAAUGCGUAGAUAUAUGGAAGAACACCAGUGGCGAAGGCGGCUGUCUGGCCUGUCACUGACGCUGAGGCACGAAAGCGUGGGGAGCAAAUAGGAUUAGAUACCCUAGUAGUC
rnacentral:rRNA from 1 species